UGAGGAGCAUCCGCGUGAGGGAGGAAGGCUCUUGGGUUGUAAACCUCUUUUCUCAGGGAAGAACAAAAUGACGGUACCUGAGGAAUAAGCAUCGGCUAACUCCGUGCCAGCAGCCGCGGUAAUACGGAGGAUGCAAGCGUUAUCCGGAAUUAUUGGGCGUAAAGCGUCCGCAGGCGGUUUUACAAGUCUGUCGUUAAAACGUGGAGCUCAACUCCAUUUCGGCGAUGGAAACUGUAAGACUAGAGUGUGGUAGGGGCAGAGGGAAUUCCCGGUGUAGCGGUGAAAUGCGUAGAUAUCGGGAAGAACACCAGUGGCGAAGGCGCUCUGCUGGGCCAUAACUGACGCUCAUGGACGAAAGCUAGGGGAGCGAAAGGGAUUAGAUACCCCUGUAGUCCUAGCCGUAAACGAUGAACACUAGGUGUCGGGGGAAUCGACCCCCUCGGUGUCGUAGCCAACGCGUUAAGUGUUCCGCCUGGGGAGUACGCACGCAAGUGUG
rnacentral:rRNA from 1 species